rnacentral:rRNA from 1 species
GAUGAACGCUGGCGGCGUGCCUAAUACAUGCAAGUCGAGCGAACAGAUGAUGAGCUUGCUCCUCUGACGUUAGCGGCGGACGGGUGAGUAACACGUGGAUAACCUACCUAUAAGACUGGGAUAACUUCGUGAAACCGGAGCUAAUACCGGAUAAUAUAUUGAACCUCAUGGUUCAAUAGUGAAAGACGGUUUUGCUGUAUUUUAUAGAUAGCUCCUGGUCGCAUUAGCUAGUUGGUAAGGUAACGGGUUACGAAGGCAACGAUGCGUAGCCGACCUGAGAGGGUGAUGGGCCCACCUGGACCGGAGACACGCUCCAGACUCCUACGGGGGGCAGCGGAAGGGAAUCUUCGGCAGAGGGCGAAGGCCUGACGGGGCACCGCGGGGUGAGUGAUGAAGGUCUUGGGAUCGUAAGAUUCGGUUAUAAGGGAAGAACAAAUGUGUAGGUAACUAUGCACGUCGUGACGGUACCUAAUCAGAAAGCCACGGCUAACUACGUG